rnacentral:lncRNA from 1 species
AGAAAAAUGUCAAAGAUAGAGAAACGUGGCGUUAAACAUCAGCAAUAAAUCAAAAUCAAUACUAUAUCAUAAAGAAUAUCGACAAUCUUUUGUGGAAUACGAGAUAUAUCCUUUGUUGUAUUGAGAACUAUUUCCUCAUUAUAUUUGUCUCAAAAUCUCAUACAUCUUCGCCAUAUAUUAAUUCUUUUAAAAAAUGAUAAUUACGCAUUUUGUCUCGGUCAAGGAUUUUUAUAGUAAGUAAAUCUUUAUAUACAGGUGGAGACCGUCAAAAGUUUUGUUCAUACAUGAAGAGUGUACUUUUUUUUACGGAGAUUGAGAUAUAACUUAAAAACAGAUGUACAAAUUAAUGUUUAAUAUGCCUACCAAAAUAAUCCCCCCUCCCCCCCAAAAAAAAAGAAAACACAAAAAAAAACCACAAUUGCACACAGGCUGAGAC